rnacentral:rRNA from 1 species
UGGGGAAUAUUGCACAAUGGGCGCAAGCCUGAUGCAGCCAUGCCGCGUGUAUGAAGAAGGCCUUCGGGUUGUAAAGCACUUUCAGCGGGGAGGAAGGCGAUAAGGUUAAUAACCUUGUCCAUUGACGUUACCCGCAGAAGAAGCACCGGCUAACUCCGUGCCAGCAGCCGCGGUAAUACGGAGGGUGCAAGCGUUAAUCGGAAUUACUGGGCGUAAAGCGCACGCAGGCGGUCUGUCAAGUCGGAUGUGAAAUCCCCGGGCUUAACCUGGGAACUGCAUUCGAAACUGGCAGGCUAGAGUCUUGUAGAGGGGGGUAGAAUUCCAGGUGUAGCGAUGAAAUGCGUAGAGAUCUGGAGGAAUACCGGUGGCGAAGGCGGCCCCCUGGACGAAGACUGACGCUCAGGUGCGAAAGCGUGGGGAGCAAACAGG